CCAAUGCUGUGAUACUAUCUGGUCUAGGAUGGUUCUGGCUCCCUGGGGCCAGAUCCUGCUCUGUAGCUCCCACAGGAGCAACCAUCACAGACCAAAGGCCAGCGGGGGCCGCAACACUCAAGGACUGUUUCUCCCACCGCCAUCUGUGGAUUUUUCCAGCUGUUUUCCUUGGCCCAAGGAUCACACCCAUAGGGAUGCAGAUGGGGGAAGGGGAAGCUGAGGAAACAGUGAAGUCAGAACGAGCUGGGGAAGAGACAGAUGGUAGGAAAUGGAGAUGGAGAAAUGGCACUAGUGGCCCGACCAUCUGAGAUGGGAUACCUGGGAGGGACAUCUUUUCAAGCAGAGGCUGUGUUAGGGCAUGGUGAGAGAGGGUCUUAGCAGGUAACCUUCCUUUCCUCUCCAGACUGAGGAAUCAGAGUUCUGAUUGUGGAGUGCCUCUCUCUAGGACUGGGCUGCAGCCUAGGAGUCCCAGCUGCUUACAUCCAGGUCCAGGAUUAUGUCUGCUAACAGACGCUGGUGGGUACCAGCUGACGACAAAGACAGUGUGUCUGAGAAGCUCCUGAGGAAGACUCGGGAAUCUCCCCUGGUGCCUAUAGGUGCUGUGUACACAAUGUACAGUGAUUACAUCAAGAGGAUGGCACAGGAUACUGGAGAGAAGUAGGACUCCUAUAGGAGCCGGGGCCGUCCGACUCCCCUAAAUCAAUCCCUAGUACAUUCCUAAUAAAGUAGCUUUGAGGAAAAUCAA